rnacentral:rRNA from 1 species
AUUGAACGCUGGCGGCAGGCCUAACACAUGCAAGUCGAGCGGAGCGGCGGACGCGUGAGUAAUGCCUAGGAAUCUGCCUGGUACUGGUGGAUAACGUCAGGUAACGGCAGCUAAUACCGCAUACUAUCAGAUGAGCCUCGGUCGGAUUAGCUAGUUGGCGGGGUAAAGGCCUACCAAGGCGACGAUCCGUAACUGGUCUGAGAGGAUGAUCAGUCACACUGGAACUGAGACACGGUCCAGACUCCUACGGGAGGCAGCAGUGGGGAAUAUUGGACAAUGGGCGAAAGCCUGAUCCAGCCAUGCCGCGUGUGUGAAGAAGGUCUUCAGAUUGUAAAGCACUUUAAGUUGGGAGGCGUUACCAGCAGAAGAAGCACCGGCUAACUCCGUGCCAGCAGCCGCGGUAAUAC